GAAUCCUUGUGAUUUACCUAACUGGAUAUUAGGGACUGCAAAGCAGAAAAUAAGAUAAUUAUGAUAUGCUGGUGUUGCAUCUCACCUGCGUUUAAUCUGAUCACUAACUUUAGAACCGAAGCCCUUCCCCUACCAGAAACUAUAACUCUACAAAACCAUUGCCAAGGGAUGAGAAUGAUACCAUUCAGCGGAACUACAAACAAGAAAGUCAAACUGGAAAACCAGAAAACAGAUGGCUAAACUCUUUUCUAAACUUUUCCAAGAGCAGUGUUUAUGCAGGUUUCCAUUGGAAGGAGAAGACUGUCUUUAGCCCACUGCAUCCCCUCAAGCCAUCCCAAGCUUUCUCUGUGCCAGGGACUGGACGCACGCUAAAAUACGAACCUGUGUGGACUUCUUUCUUAGGAGCCUUUGCACCAGCACAAGUCCAUUCAAAGGACAUCCCAACAUCAUCAGUUAACCAAGUGUGUGUUCCACCCCAGGGAAGGACAGCGUAGGGCCGAGAGGAAUCACGGCUGAAUGGUCUGAGAUCCCGACCUGCAGAAGUAACUGGCCACUUCAGGGAAGAGAUGACUAAGAGCACUUAGAAUUUAUCCAGCUCUCAAGGCGACUUCACCAAGGAACAACCACAGUGUUGUUUUUUCACAGAAACACCAAAC
rnacentral:lncRNA from 1 species